GGGGGCGACUGGUUUCGACGGGGAGUAUGAUGAUAGGGGUAGCGGGUCGAGGAGCUGUGGCCUCGUUAGACUGCAGCAAGCUCAUUAAGUGCCGAUAACAAUUACCUUUUAGCUGCUUAAUUAAAAGUAGCCGUCCAAACUAAACUUAGCCUGGGAGUUUAGUGCGGGCGUCACUUAAACCAGGAUGCUCACCGGUCAAUUCUCGGAGACCGGUGCUAAGAUGAUCGAGAUCGCCAAGGCCUUCGGUUCGUCCGCAGACCGGGCUCUGGUUAAAUUUAAGUGCGGACUGCACCCGGAGAGACCCCUGUGGUCAUCUUUCCGGACGGGGGUUCGAUUCCCCCCGCCUCCACCA
rnacentral:tmRNA from 1 species